GAUAAGGCCUGCAGGACUCUACCCCACAUCUUCUGAAUGC
rnacentral:tRNA from 2 species